rnacentral:lncRNA from 1 species
UUCUAUCUAUACAAAACACGGAGGUCACUUGCUUCUUCUUCAGUCGCUUCUUCCUCAUUCCCUCUGUCAAUCGAACUACCAAACAUUAUCAUACUCUCCUCUCUAACCCAUUCUACCCAAUCGCUUACCAUCUCAAUAAAAACCCCAUAGAUUUCAGCCCUCUGUCGCCGCCGUCUGUCCUGCUCCACAACUCCUCCGCCAUUACCACCUCGCGCUUCAAACUUCCGGAAGGUUGGGAGGUUGAAGAGGUGCCCCACGCCAACGCCUCUCCAGUCGACAACGUCAUUUCCGUUAGUUUGUGUGCUUAAUUUAUCAAUUCAUGUCUUCUAUCUAAAAGAAUAAGUAGAUCUUCUCUCUUCUGCAAAUAGCAAUUACAGUUUUAAUUGGGCUUUAUUUGAAUUCACGUAUCUCUCUGUUUAUAUGUGUGAAUUUUAUGAGUUUGAUUUGUUCUUAUUGGUGCCGCAGGCGAUUGAGACCUUCUCCUCCACUAAUGAAACGACGCCUGUAGAAACCCUAGGUCCGGUGAAGGAUUCUGGUGUCAAAUCUAGAGACCAGGAGGUUCGAUCAUCUGUUUCGCCUUUAAAACAGUCUGAUUUGGUGCAGCUAGAAAAAUCUGCGGAUGCGGGAGUAGAAGGUGAGCCUUUGUAGAGAGUAAUCUCUCUGCUCUUCCCCCUCUUGCAGUUAUACAAACAAACAUGAUGAAAAAAAUAAUCAAAACCAAUCUUCACCACUAAUAUCUAGCAGUGAGAGAAUCAGAUGGUAUAGGAAUUAAAGGGAAGAUGAACAGAUAGAUAGAUAGUGUGUGUGUAAUUUGUGUAUUGUAUUGUAUAUUUAUUUGUAUGGAGGGGGACUCUCUCUCUCUCUCUAUGGGUUUAUAGUUAAGGUGAGGUUUUAUUUGCUUAGAAAAUAUUGACAAUGUUUAUAUCAUUUAUGUCUAAUUUUAUUUUGCAAGAAAUUAUGGCUGAAGGGAACACUGUUCAAACAAUAGUUAAGUUUUUGUCUCAUGAACAAUCUAAAUAGAGGGA